rnacentral:lncRNA from 1 species
GACAUGUAAAUAAGGACCUGGGGUUCCUUAAUGAUGUAACAGUACCGUAUUGGUUCAUAAUGCCGUACACAUUGAUGAUAACUGUACUGGCAGAUGAAUAGAUACGUAUUCAUGACUUGAUGAAUAGUACUAUUCACAUGAAUAGUGACGUAUGCAUAAAUAUUAACCAUUUUGGGUAAACUGUCACUAUAUACAAAAGAGAACCUGCAGUUCCUUAAACUCAUGGAUGAGCAAUUAAAUGAGAUGCCAGAAGUUCCUCAAAAUAUGGACAAUUAUGUAAGGGCUUGGAGUCCCGAAAUAUGUACAGAAAAU